rnacentral:rRNA from 1 species
GGUACUUGUACCGACUGGAUGAGCAGCGAACGGGUGAGUAACGCGUGGGGAAUCUGCCUUUGAGCGGGGGACAACAUUUGGAAACGAAUGCUAAUACCGCAUAAAAACUUUAAACACAAGUUUUAAGUUUGAAAGAUGCAAUUGCAUCACUCAAAGAUGAUCCCGCGUUGUAUUAGCUAGUUGGUGAGGUAAAGGCUCACCAAGGCGAUGAUACAUAGCCGACCUGAGAGGGUGAUCGGCCACAUUGGGACUGAGACACGGCCCAAACUCCUACGGGAGGCAGCAGUAGGGAAUCUUCGGCAAUGGACGAAAGUCUGACCGAGCAACGCCGCGUGAGUGAAGAAGGUUUUCGGAUCGUAAAACUCUGUUGGUAGAGAAGAACGUUGGUGAGAGUGGAAAGCUCAUCAAGUGACGGUAACUACCCAGAAAGGGACGGCUAACUACGUGCCAGCAGCCGCGGUAAUACGUAGGUCCCGAGCGUUGUCCGGAUUUAUUGGGCGUAAAGCGAGCGCAGGUGGUUUAUUAAGUCUGGUGUAAAAGGCAGUGGCUCAACCAUUGUAUGCAUUGGAAACUGGUAGACUUGAGUGCAGGAGAGGAGAGUGGAAUUCCAUGUGUAGCGGUGAAAUGCGUAGAUAUAUGGAGGAACACCGGUGGCGAAAGCGGCUCUCUGGCCUGUAACUGACACUGAGGCUCGAAAGCGUGGGGGAGCAAACAGGAUUAGAUACCCUGGUAGUCCACGCCGUAAACGAUGAGUGCUAGAUGUAGGGAGCUAUAAGUUCUCUGUAUCGCAGCUAACGCAAUAAGCACUCCGCCUGGGGAGUACGACCGCAAGGUUGAAACUCAAAGGAAUUGACGGGGGCCCGCACAAGCGGUGGAGCAUGUGGUUUAAUUCGAAGCAACGCGAAGAACCUUACCAGGUCUUGACAUACUCGUGCUAUUCCUAGAGAUAGGAAGUUCCUUCGGGACACGGGAUACAGGUGGUGCAUGGUUGUCGUCAGCUCGUGUCGUGAGAUGUUGGGUUAAGUCCCGCAACGAGCGCAACCCCUAUUGUUAGUUGCCAUCAUUAAGUUGGGCACUCUAACGAGACUGCCGGUGAUAAACCGGAGGAAGGUGGGGAUGACGUCAAAUCAUCAUGCCCCUUAUGACCUGGGCUACACACGUGCUACAAUGGAUGGUACAACGAGUCGCGAGACAGUGAUGUUUAGCUAAUCUCUUAAAACCAUUCUCAGUUCGGAUUGUAGGCUGCAACUCGCCUACAUGAAGUCGGAAUCGCUAGUAAUCGCGGAUCAGCACGCCGCGGUGAAUACGUUCCCGGGCCUUGUACACACCGCCCGUCACACCACGGGAGUUGGGAGUACCCGAAGUAGGUUGCCUAACC